rnacentral:rRNA from 1 species
CACUCCUACGGGAGGCAGCAGUGGGGAAUAUUGGACAAUGGGCGCAAGCCUGAUCCAGCCAUGCCGCGUGAGUGAUGAAGGCCCUAGGGUUGUAAAGCUCUUUCACCGGUGAAGAUAAUGACGGUAACCGGAGAAGAAGCCCCGGCUAACUUCGUGCCAGCAGCCGCGGUAAUACGAAGGGGGCUAGCGUUGUUCGGAUUUACUGGGCGUAAAGCGCACGUAGGCGGACUAUUAAGUCAGGGGUGAAAUCCCGGGGCUCAACCCCGGAACUGCCUUUGAUACUGGUAGUCUUGAGUUCGAGAGAGGUGAGUGGAAUUCCGAGUGUAGAGGUGAAAUUCGUAGAUAUUCGGAGGAACACCAGUGGCGAAGGCGGCUCACUGGCUCGAUACUGACGCUGAGGUGCGAAAGCGUGGGGAGCAAACAGGAUUAGAAACCCUGGUAGUCCCAUGAU